UGAGGCGAACCGGGGGAACUGAAACAUCUAAGUACCCCGAGGAAAAGAAAUCAACCGAGAUUCCCCCAGUAGCGGCGAGCGAACGGGGAGCAGCCCAGAGCCUGAAUCAGUGUGUGUGUUAGUGGAAGCGUCUGGAAAGGCGCGCGAUACAGGGUGACAGCCCCGUACACAAAAAUGCACAUGCUGUGAGCUCGAUGAGUAGGGCGGGACACGUGGUAUCCUGUCUGAAUAUGGGGGGACCAUCCUCCAAGGCUAAAUACUCCUGACUGACCGAUAGUGAACCAGUACCGUGAGGGAAAGGCGAAAAGAACCCCGGCGAGGGGAGUGAAAAAGAACCUGAAACCGUGUACGUACAAGCAGUGGGAGCACAGAGCAAUCUGUGUGACUGCGUACCUUUUGUAUAAUGGGUCAGCGACUUAUAUUCUGUAGCAAGGUUAACCGAAUAGGGGAGCCGAAGGGAAACCGAGUCUUAACUGGGCGUUAAGUUGCAGGGUAUAGACCCGAAACCCGGUGAUCUAGCCAUGGGCAGGUUGAAGGUUGGGUAACACUAACUGGAGGACCGAACCGACUAAUGUUGAAAAAUUAGCGGAUGACUUGUGGCUGGGGGUGAAAGGCCAAUCAAACCGGGAGAUAGCUGGUUCUCCCCGAAAGCUAUUUAGGUAGCGCCUCGUGAAUUCAUCUCCGGGGGUAGAGCACUGUUUCGGCAAGGGGGUCAUCCCGACUUACCAACCCGAUGCAAACUGCGAAUACCGGAGAAUGUUAUCACGGGAGACACACGGCGGGUGCUAACGUCCGUCGUGAAGAGGGAAACAACCCAGACCGCCAGCUAAGGUCCCAAAGUCAUGGUUAAGUGGGAAACGAUGUGGGAAGGCCCAGACAGCCAGGAUGUUGGCUUAGAAGCAGCCAUCAUUUAAAGAAAGCGUAAUAGCUCACUGGUCGAGUCGGCCUGCGCGGAAGAUGUAACGGGGCUAAACCAUGCACCGAAGCUGCGGCAGCGACGCUUAUGCGUUGUUGGGUA
rnacentral:rRNA from 1 species